AAACAGCCCCCUAUAUAUUGGAUCUUUGACAGUUUUGGCCUCCAAGGCCACUUUUGACUUAGUCUUCGCUGACGUGGCACCCACAAUGGUCGACACGUGGCACCUCACUUAAGGGAUGUGGGUGCCACGUCAGCGAAGAUUCAUUCAAAAGUGGCCUUGGGGGACAAAACUGUCAUAGAUCCAAAACAUAGGGGGGCUGUUU
rfam:Medicago truncatula strain A17 chromosome 1, whole genome shotgun sequence.